rnacentral:rRNA from 1 species
AACGAACGCUGGCGGCAGGCCUAACACAUGCAAGUCGAACGAAGCCUUCGGGCUUAGUGGCGGACGGGUGAGUAACGCGUGGGAAUAUGCCCAAAGGUACGGAAUAGUCCCGGGAAACUGGGUUUAAUACCGUAUGUGCCCUUCGGGGGAAAGAUUUAUCGCCUUUGGAUUAGCCCGCGUUGGAUUAGGUAGUUGGUGGGGUAAUGGCCUACCAAGCCGACGAUCCAUAGCUGGUUUGAGAGGAUGAUCAGCCACACUGGGACUGAGACACGGCCCAGACUCCUACGGGAGGCAGCAGUGGGGAAUCUUAGACAAUGGGGGCAACCCUGAUCUAGCCAUGCCGCGUGAGUGACGAAGGCCCUAGGGUCGUAAAGCUCUUUCGCUGGGGAAGAUAAUGA